AGUGUAGCUUCCAUUGGCAAUACUUUAAACAGUGUCCAUCUAGCUCUGGAGGCAAUACAGAAAACUGGAUGAACACAAGGAAACCAUGGCAUUGCUGCAACAUGAUAUGAUGCUGCCAUUCUGCAAAGAGAGUCUUUUGAUCAAGUGACCAUCAGAAUUGAUACCACAAAAAUCACAAACAUAAAGGUGGAAAGAAGAUAGUUCAAAUUCUUGGUGUCCAACCUAUGAGAGAAACUGGAGCAGAUCGGUGCUCUCACAAACAAACCUGACAACAACAGGCCUCCGAAGAUUAAAGAAGAAGGUGAGCACUGGGCUGGCUUCUGAGUAUUUCAUGCAGGCUUGGGCAGCUUGCUCCCACAUAGGGAGUGUGAAAGGUGUUUUCAGCAGCACCUAUGGAACCCAGUGAGUGAUGCCUGAGCUUAUGGAGGUGAAGCUCAUGCACUCUGUUUUCAUUGAGAAAAAGCCCAUUUUGUUACCUUAUUUUUACUCUGGUCUAUUAAGGGAAGAAUGUGUAAUGAUUAGCUGGAAAUA